UUUUUUUACCAUUUUUUAAUGGUAAACUCGCCCUUUAAAACCCCCAACAUUAACAUUUGAAAACAUGUUUUUCUCUUUCUAAAACAUAUAUAUAGUUUGUAAAUUUGUCCUUUGAAUUUGUGAUGGAAAUAUUUUAUGUAAUGGCCUCAGAAAGAGUCAAAAGGGUACGAUCAACCUAAAAUGUUCUUAAAAGUUCAUACUAAGGAUGCUUAGAUCAAAGACUCUCUGCCUCUAUGAUUAAAUAAUCUUUACUUGGCCAAAAAGUGCUUAAAACAGUAGAAUGACAAACCAAUGACCAGAUCAGUCAAACCAAUUAUAGUGAAGAAGAUUUGAGUGACAUUGAUUUUUACUCAACAACAAGGUAUAAAUGUUCAUGUAUCCUUCUGUUCAGGGAGUCUCUCUUUUGGUUGUUGUGACCAGUGGGCUCCCGGCCGUGAAUAAAACUUUCAUUCCUGAAACGAGCAUCUUGGGUGUGGUGUCUGCUACACAGCGGAGGAACAGAAAUACUAAAGAUUCUACACUAAAAAGACCACCGCAAAGACAGCAAUAGUGUUGGGCUGAGGCUGUAAUACUCUGAGUUAGUAUUAAAGAUCCUGUGUGAGACCAGCGUACAGUGGAGAAGUCUGCUAAAGAACAGUGUGUUCAUGUGAGUUUGAGGCUCCAGCUGUCUGGAAUUCAACAAACAACAGCAGCGCUCCCAGGAGUUGGUACGGACGGGACUAGAUUUCAAGCGGCACAUCUGUUUCUCACUAGGGCGAGACUGAUUCUCUGUCCAAUAGAUCUACCAGAAACUCCCACCUCCCCCAAAAAAUACCAAAAGCAUUAUUUCCCAACCCUUAAACUAUUGGUCGCAAAGCGGAGAUAA